rnacentral:tRNA from 1 species
AAGAGAAUAAGAAUAGAAAUAGCUGCUAACUAAUUUCUAAAGCGGUUCAAUUCCGUUUUUCUCUUG